UGAGAAACUCUGCCUUCUGCAGGAGAAGGUCAAAGGGCUGAUUGUGGUCAGCCACAAUGCUGUCUGCUCUCAAUCAUGUCCCUCUGCCUGACGGGAAGCAAGGUGGCAAAUGAAAAUGCUGUGGGCCUGAUAAGGUGGUGCUUGCCCACUGGGGAGGAGCCUGGUGCUCCUGUGUGGUGAGGGGGCUCCAGGGAAGGCACUAGGUGAUGAGGAGAAGCCUUGCUGGGGUUCCACGGGGGACCCCGGGGGCUGCUGAAAUGAGAGUGGAAUGAAGAUCUGAAGGAGGUAGGUUUUGUUCUUUUUUAAAAAUUCAUUUUCCCCUGUAUUUGUUCAUUUUCUGUCUUUAGAGAGCUCCAUUGUUCUGAUUUUCUGUCCUAACAAAAGAGCUUGGAAACUUUUUGAUGUCUUUGUAGAAAGUUUUGGCUGUGUGCUCCAGAUGGCUCUGAGUCCCAUCACAGCAUAUCAAUAUUAAUUAACCCCGUGUAUAACCCUGGCUGUGAAUCUCUUCACAGUGUAUCUCUAUUAAUCACCCCUCUUUGGGGUGAGGAGGACCAGGGUGGGCUUGGUGGGUGACCAGGCUGCCACCAGAUGUGGUCCCAGGUCAGCAGGGCAGUUGUUUGCUAGGCUGUGACUGCGG
rnacentral:lncRNA from 1 species